AUAUUUGACGACAACAAAAGAACACAUCGUUUACAAAUAUGUCAGUACUAAAGUUAAAAUCAUUAAAUGAAUUUAAAAAAAAAUAAGAAACUAAAAAACGAUCACAACUUCACAAAAUCACAAGGCGACAUAACCUUAUUAAAGUAAAUCUCCAAUUACUAUUAGAUACGGAUUAAAACAGAA